AAUGAUAUGCCUGAAAAAGGAUUAUUUUGAUAGAAUAAAUCAUAUAUUUUUAAUAAAUAUUUUCAUUU
rnacentral:tRNA from 1 species